rnacentral:rRNA from 1 species
UACGUAGGGGGCUAGCGUUGUCCGGAAUCAUUGGGCGUAAAGCGCGUGUAGGCGGUCCGGUAAGUCCGCUGUGAAAGUCGGGGGCUCAACCCUCGAAUGCCGGUGGAUACUGUCGGGCUAGAGUGCGGAAGAAGCGAGUGGAAUUCCUGGUGUAGCGGUGAAAUGCGCAGAUAUCAGGAGGAACACCAAUUGCGAAGGCAGCUCGCUGGGACGUAACUGACGCUGAGACGCGAAAGCGUGGGGAGCAAACAGG